rnacentral:rRNA from 1 species
AACGAACGCUGGCGGCAUGCCUAACACAUGCAAGUCGAACGAUAAGCCACUUCGGUGGUGGACAGUGGCGCACGGGUGAGUAACACGUGGGGACCUGCCUGAUAGUAAGGGACAACAGUUUGAAAAGACUGCUAAUACCUUAUACGCCCUUUUGGGGAAAGAUUUAUCGCUAUCAGAUGGACCCGCGCUAGAUUAGAUAGUUGGUGAGGUAAUGGCUCACCAAGUCUACGAUCUAUAGCUGGUUUGAGAAGAUGAUCAGCCACAUUGGGACUGAGACACGGCCCAGACUCCUACGGGAGGCAGCAGUGGGGAAUAUUGUACAAUGGAGGAAACUCUGAUACAGCAAUGCCGCGUGAGUGAAGAAGGCCUUAGGGUUGUAAAACUCUUUCGCUAGGGAAGAUAAUGACGGUACCUAGUAAAGAAGUCCCGGCUAACUCCGUGCCAGCAGCC